rnacentral:rRNA from 1 species
CCCACCGUGGCGACGAUGCGUAGGGGUUCUGAGAGGAAGGUCCCCCACACUGGUACUGAGACACGGACCAGACUCCUACGGGAGGCAGCAGUGAGGAAUAUUGGUCAAUGGGAGAGAUCCUGAACCAGCCAAGCCGCGUGAGGGAAGACGGCCCUAUGGGUUGUAAACCUCUUUUGUCGGAGAACAAAACCCGGGACGAGUCCCGGACUGCGUGUAUCCGAAGAAAAAGCAUCGGCUAACUCCGUGCCAGCAGCCGCGGUAAUACGGAGGAUGCGAGCGUUAUCCGGAUUUAUUGGGUUUAAAGGGUGCGUAGGCGGUCUGUUAAGUCAGCGGUAAAAUUGCGGGGCUCAACCCCGUCGAGCCGUUGAAACUGGCAGACUUGAGUUGGCGAGAAGUACGCGGAAUGCGCGGUGUAGCGGUGAAAUGCAUAGAUAUCGCGCAGAACUCCGAUUGCGAAGGCAGCGUACCGGCGCCACACUGACGCUGAGGCACGAAAGCGUGGGGAUCGAACAGGAUUAGAUACCCUGGUAGUCCACGCAGUAAACGAUGAAUGCUGGUUGUCCGGGUCGAAUGAGAUCUGG